rnacentral:rRNA from 1 species
CCUACGGGAGGCAGCAGUGAGGAAUAUUGGUCAAUGGGCGCGAGCCUGAACCAGCCAAGUCGCGUGAGGGAAGACGGUCCUACGGAUUGUAAACCUCUUUUGUCGGGGAGUAAAAUACGCCACGCGUGGCGUUCCGAGAGUACUCGAAGAAAAAGCAUCGGCUAACUCCGUGCCAGCAGCCGCGGUAAUACGGAGGAUGCGAGCGUUAUCCGGAUUUAUUGGGUUUAAAGGGUGCGCAGGGGGACGAUAAAGUCAGCGGUAAAAUUGGGGGGCUCAACCUCUACGAGCCAUUGAGACUGGUAGUCUUGAGUAAAUGAGAGGUAUGCGGAAUGCGUGGUGUAGCGGUGAAAUGCAUAGAUAUCACGAAGAACUCCGAUUGCGAAGGCAGCAUACCGACGCUCAACUGACGCUGAUGCACGAAAGUGUGGGUAUCGAACAGGAUUAGAUACCCUAGUAGUC